rnacentral:rRNA from 1 species
CAUUCGAACGCACAUUGCAGCCAUUGGAUAUCCAUUGGCUUUGUUUGUCUGAGCGUCGUUAUUGAAUCAAGUAAAAUGAAAAAUCUGUUUCGUGAAUGCUAAAUGAUUCUCGUCAGAUUCAAUGUGUAACAUUAAAUGCUGACUCGUGGAGCGAAUGGCACGUUAUGGUGGUACGUUCCAAAGAGUAUUUUGGCGUCUCCAGCUAAAAUAUUCUAGUGCUUCCAGUGUUCGUCCAUGUGAGCUGAACACAGAGUUCAGUUUGGUUAUCAAAAGUUAAGUCUAUUGUCGACCUCAGAUCAAGCGAGAUUACCCGCUGAAUUUAAG